UACGGGGGGGGCAAGCGUUGUUCGGAAUUACUGGGCGUAAAGGGCGCGUAGGCGGCCUUCUAAGUCAGACGUGAAAUCCCUCGGCUCAACCGAGGAACUGCGUCUGAUACUGGAAGGCUUGAAUCCGGGAGAGGGAUGUGGAAUUCCAGGUGUAGCGGUGAAAUGCGUAGAUAUCUGGAGGAACACCUGAGGUGAAGACGGGUUGCUGGGCCGACACUGACGCUGAGUGCGCGAAAGCCAGGGGAGCGAACGGG
rnacentral:rRNA from 1 species